rnacentral:lncRNA from 1 species
ACACGCAUUGCCUUGGGCAUCAAAAGGUUUUUUUAAAAUAAUGUGCAAAUACAUUUGAGCCAUGUCCCGAGGUGAUAACCACCAAGUCAGGAUAACAAAAUCGAACUUGAACUAGCGUACAUACCCCUACUCUUGCUAACACCCUUAGGUAUUUGGUUUGAAAAUGAUCAUUCUGGAAUAACUAAUUAUCCCGAAAUAAAAUAAAAGAAUACAUUUUUCUUUAUUUGGUUGGAGGAAUUAAUACAAUCCGAGAUAACUUAUCCCACCAUUUUUAUCCCAUAUACAUGGUGGGAUAUGUUAUUCCGGGAUAACCAUUUUCAAAUCAAACGAUCCCUUAGAAUUAGAUACGUCCUCUUCCUCUUUCUAAAGUACAAAUCCCUUAGCUCUUAGAUCUAGACUUCCAAUAUGGCUAGCCAAAUCAUAGGACUUAUCAAUCUCCCUCUUGAAUUUUAGAUGUUGCUUUUUGAACUCAUGAAGGAUGAAUGCCAAGAUAAACUGUGUCCUAUGUCAUCUUGAGGUCAAGGACUUUUCUUCGAGCAAACUCCUACUUCUCCAAUGUGUUGAACCUCUUUUUCAUAUGAUGGAUCUUGGCCCUAGUUGGCUCUUAAGUAGAAGGAGAUGGGGAAUGCCCCUUUGAGUGAGGGUUGCACAAGCAGGCAGUAUAAAUGUAGAAGGAGAUGGGGAAUGCCCCUUUGAGUGAGGGUUGCACAAGCAGGCAGUAUAAAUGUAUUUAUCCCUUGAGAAGGGUGCUGAUAGAACUAGACUAUAAAAGGUUCUCCUGUUGGAGAAUGGCCACUUGCUCUGCUAGAAGGGAAGCACAUCCCUUUGAUGGUUAUCCCUUUUAAUUUGAAGUGCAUAAAAUUUGGCCUUGAGCACUUUAAUUUCUGAUAACCACUAGGUUGUAAUAUUGGCAGAAAUGCUCGACUCUUGCAAAAUAUAUAGAGAACCUUUGAGCCCCAGAGUCUCACCAGUAACUUUCCUUCUCCAUCAAUAAUCAUUGAAGCACCUCAACCAUUAAGACACUUGCCUAAAAAAAGAAGCAUGUUAGGAGUUGUUCCUAAAGAAAAAUAAAAGGGGGACAAGUAUAACUUACCCUCACUAUAUAAUGAGAGACAUAAUUUAUUUAUGCAUUGAAUAAAGGUCUCUUUCAUUUUGUGAUAGUCCUUUGAGGAAAUGCCGAUAUUUACAUAAUUAGUUACCUUAAUCAGCCUUGAGAUAAACAAGGUUUACCUCACUAAGAACAACUAAGAUGGUCGUCUAUUAAUACGAGGUAGCAUGAUCAGUAGAAGGAUCUAUACCUACAAGACUUAAGAUGAAGAAAGAACUAGCAUUCGAAAACUCAAACACACAGGGAUAGGUGGAGAUACUACCUUUGACUAUGACUAGCCCUACAAGGGAUGAUCUUAGUUAAAAUAGGUAUAGCACGAGGUGGACCCCUUAUCAUUCCUUUCAUUGUCCAUAAAAUAAAAUAGCUUGGCUAUCUCAUACUCAACAAAGAUGGGAGAUUUCUCCCAAUUAUUUGAAGUUACGUAAGGUAAGCUAUCAGAACUCCCAAUGGAAACUACUUUUCUUCAAGAUUAUAUUCUCUUGUUAAUUAUGAUAGUACCAGUAAUUCCCCAAACUACUAGAGCUAUGGGGAACAAGAGAAUUGUUAGAAAGAAGUUCCAGGCUUGUGUCUGUCUGAGAAUGGAAGUGACUCUCAAAAGUCCAUCCAACAAGGCUAAGAGACACAACAAAAGAUGGGAGAAUCACAGAGUCUGGCUUCAAAAAUGGUGUAGAAAAGAGCAUAAGAAAUAUCCUAAAAAUUUUAAAAUAAUUAAGGCUUACUCAAAUAUAAAAGAUCCUUAUCGUGAUUCUUUGCUUUCCAUCCAUGAUAGCUUGAUACACUAGCACAGGUGUGGUUAUCUACAGUGGUACAUUUGAGAAUAAAGCCACCUAAAGGAAAAUCAUCUAGGUUUUACCAAAGAGCUUGCUGUCUCAAGGUAGAUGCCACUGUGGAUCUAUGAAAUAUGCAUAAAAAAGUGACGUACUAAUGAGAAGCAAGGUAAAAAAGAGAUAUAAUGCACAAAAACUUAAGAUGAGUAUUCCAUGGAAAUAUAUAAAAAGCCCCAAAGAGGCCUGUAAGGGAUACAUAAAGUGAUCAGUCCACUCAUAGUCUUGGAAUCACCCAAGCAGAUUAUAAUUAACUUAUUUCCCCAGUAGAGGAUUUAGUGCCCUAAUAGAUCAAUUUAAUUAUCUCACCCUGUAGCAAGCAUAGGAAAUAGAGUAUAAGAAGAUGAGUCAAGGUAAAACUAACACCCAACAUAAAAGUAAGUGCAUGAAUAUAGGUGAUAGUUUGCCACACUCCCGAGUUUAGUUGGCCAAGGGACAGUUAAAAAGUGUUGCAGAAGUAAGAGACCACCUCGUCUAUUAGAUUACCAAGGCCGAUACUAAGCAUGUAUAUGUAAACAUAAAAGAUUUGGCAUUUAGCAAAUAAUAUUAUCACCAAGCUUAGAAAUCUCCCAAUAAAUCCUUAUUUCUUCCAAUCUGCACUCUUAGAUAAUUAGGAAAGAGAGUCCUCCUUUGCCAGGCAGCCCAACCUGUAUACAAGUAUUCCAUUGAGAUCCUCAUUAAGCUGGUUAAAAAAUCCUCCAAAACUUUGAACAAACUAGGUACUACUUUGUCAAUAAUGGACCCAAGAAAGAAGGGUUAUUACCUUUUUCUUUACUAUAGAAGUAUUAGAUCUGAGUUAGGGGUGUCCUCUUUCAUUGAGGGAGUAGAUAUCAGGCAAAAAACCGCAUAAGAGAUUAAAAUUUUAACUCUAGAAAGAUAAGAGAUAAAGGAAAAGGUAGAAGUCAAAACCCAUAGGUUAAGUUUGUAUGAUGAAAGAAGCAAGCCCAAACUCUAUCUUGGAAAAGGUGUUUUUGAUUGAAUCAACACGUAGGGUGUGUUUAGUACGAAGGAAAACACUUUCUGCAAAAUAUUUUUUAGUUUUCUCCGAUUCUAUUUUUCAAAUCAA